UAUAAAGUAAUGGUGGCAGAUGACUUCCUGAGACUUUAGCUGCCUUCUACUUCUACACUAUUUCCCCCUAGCAGGAUAACUUCAGGUUUGGGUGAGAUGUGCCUGGCAGCUUCUAUCUUCUUUUAAUUGCAGAACAUCAUGACCAGAUGCUUCUCUGAAUGCAGUGUGGCAAGGAGUUUUAGGACACUAUACAAGAGGAGCUUUGGGGUCACCUAGUGAGGAUCAAUGAAAGAAACUAACUUUUCAGUCACCCCAGCCUAGUUACCAAAUCAUGAAUUUAGCAGUAAUGCUGAAA